AUUGAACGCUGGCGGCAGGCCUAACACAUGCAAGUCGAGCGAGCGGCGGACGGGUGAGUAAUGUAUGGGGACUGCCCGAUAGAGGGGGAUAACUACUGGAAACGGUAGCUAAUACCGCAUACUAUCGGAUAACCCAUAUGGGAUUAUCUAGUAGGUGAGGUAAUGGCUCACCUAGGCGACGAUCCCUAGCUGGUCUGAGAGGAUGAUCAGCCAAACUGGGACGAAGACACGGCCCAGACUCCUACGGAGGAAGCAGUGGGGAAUAUUGGUCAAUGGGCGAAAGCCUGAUGUAGCAAUGCCGCGUGUAUGAAGAAGGCCCUAGGGUUGUAAAGUACUUUCAGUAGGGAUGCGUUACCGACAGAAGAAGCACCGGCUAACUCCGUGCCAGCAGCCGCGGUAAUAC
rnacentral:rRNA from 1 species